UACGUAGGGUCCGAGCGUUGUCCGGAAUUAUUGGGCGUAAAGAGCUCGUAGGCGGUUUGUCGCGUCUGCUGUGAAAUCCCGAGGCUCAACCCAGGAAGUGCAUUGGAUACUGGGAAACUUGAAUACGGGAGAGGGUAGUGGAAUUCCUAGUGUAGGAGUGAAAUCCGUAGAUAUCAGGAGGAACACCGGUGGCGAAGGCGGCUUUCUGGGCCUUACCUGACGCUGAGACGCGAAGGCGUGGGGAGCGAACGGG
rnacentral:rRNA from 1 species